rnacentral:rRNA from 1 species
AAUGAACGUUGGCGGCGUGGAUUAGGCAUGCAAGUCGUACGGGCCGCAAGGCCAGUGGCGCAAGGGUGAGUAAGGCGACGGCAACCAACCCCAUGGCUGGGUAUAGCCGCGGGAAACUGCGGGUAAUCCCCAGCGACGCACACAGCCGGCAUCGGUCGUGUGCCAAAGCUCCGGCGCCGUGGGACGGGCCGUCGUGGUAUUAGGUAGUUGGCGGGGUAACGGCCCACCAAGCCGACGAUGCCUACCGGGCGUGCGAGCGUGGCCCAGACACACUGGGACUGAGACACUGCCCAGACUCCUACGGGAGGCUGCAGUCGAGAAUCUUCGGCAAUGGGCGCAAGCCUGACCGAGCGACGCCGCGUGGAGGAUGAAGGCCUUCGGGUUGUAAACUCCUGUCGAGGGGGAAGAAGUCCCGAGCAAUCGGGAUUGACUGAUCCCUGGAGGAAGCACGGGCUAAGUUCGUGCCAGCCGCCGCUGUAAAAC